rnacentral:SRP_RNA from 1 species
AAAAGUACUUCCGCCUGAAGCACCAUGCCGAGAAGAGGGUGAAGAUGCAGAAGGCCAAGGAAAGGUUCCUGGGGUCCGCGGAGGCUCCCAAGGAGCCCA